rnacentral:rRNA from 1 species
CGAGCGCACCCUUAUCCUUGUUUGCCAGCGAGUAAUGUCGGGAACUCCAGGGAGACUGCCGGUGAUAAACCGGAGGAAGGUGGGGACGACGUCAAGUCAUCAUGGCCCUUACGAGUAGGGCUACACACGUACUACAAUGGCGCAUACAGAGGGCGGCCAACUUGCGAAAGUGAGCAAAUCCCAAAAAGUGCGUCGUAGUCCGGAUUGGAGUCUGCAACUCGACUCCAUGAAGCCGGAAUCGCUAGUAAUCGUGGAUCAGAAUGCCACGGUGAAUACGUUCCCGGGCCUU